rnacentral:rRNA from 1 species
GACGAACGCUGGCGGCGUGCCUAAUACAUGCAAGUAGAACGCACAGGAUGCACCGUAGUUUACUACACCGUAUCCUGUGAGUUGCGAACGGGUGAGUAACGCGUAGGUAACCUGCCUGGUAGCGGGGGAUAACUAUUGGAAACGAUAGCUAAUACCGCAUAAGAACAUUUACUGCAUGGUAGAUGUUUAAAAGGUGCAAGAGCAUCACUACCAGAUGGACCUGCGUUGUAUUAGCUAGUUGGUGAGGUAACGGCUCACCAAGGCAACGAUACAUAGCCGACCUGAGAGGGUGAUCGGCCACACUGGGACUGAGACACGGCCCAGACUCCUACGGGAGGCAGCAGUAGGGAAUCUUCGGCAAUGGGGGGAACCCUGACCGAGCAACGCCGCGUGAGUGAAGAAGGUUUUCGGAUCGUAAAGCCCUGUUGUUAAGGAAGAACGUGUGUGAGAGUGGAAAGUUCACACAGUGACGGUACUUAACCAGAAAGGGACGGCUAACUACGUGCCAGCAGCCGCGGUAAUACGUAGGUCCCGAGCGUUGUCCGGAUUUAUUGGGCGUAAAGCGAGCGCAGGCGGUUAGAUAAGUCUGAAGUGAAAGGCAGUGGCUCAACCAUUGUAGGCUUUGGAAACUGUUUAACUUGAGUGCAGAAGGGGAGAGUGGAAUUCCAUGUGUAGCGGCGAAAUGCGUAGAUAUAUGGAGGAACACCGGUGGCGAAAGCGGCUCUCUGGUCUGUAACUGACGCUGAGGCUCGAAAGCGUGGGGAGCGAACAGG